rnacentral:siRNA from 1 species
UCAAUACCGAAUUCUGGUGAUCGG